rnacentral:snoRNA from 1 species
UAUAUCCGUACCAAAUUCGGUGCCUGCCCACCAUGGCAUGCACUGGCCCAGAAGGCUUCCACAGAAACACUGUGGUGCAUGGGCCCUGAUCCCUUCUGCUGGGCCUCAGGGAUAAGUUUGGCUACAGACAAAA